GUCUCCUCGUGAGUCGGGACCCUCCUCUCGCCGCCGCCACCUCCUCCCCUUCCUCGUCUCCUGCCGCCGCCACCUCCUCUCCUUCCUCGUCUCCUGCCACGCCCCUCCUCUGGCUUUCGAUCUCCGCCACCGGGCCUCCUCCUCUCUCCCACGGGCCUUGGGUGUGGCUCCGCGCGAGGCGCUACAGAUGAGAGGCGCGGCGGGCAGCCUUCGGGGAGCACCUGCCGUCGAGCAUGCGUAGACGCUUAUCAUCGUCGGCGGGCCACGAGCUUCUCCGGCACCGCCGCCGCGGUCGCGCUACCUCCAUCGUCUAAGCGAGUAUUGGAGGGAGGGCAUGGGCGUGAUUCCGGCGAGAUGUGGCUCGGAUAGAUGUCUGCGAUGCGGCAAUCAGAAAUCCUUUGUUACCUUCUCAGGAACUAGGCUUUGUCGCCUGUCAUGCUUCAAAGGCGUCAAGUGACAGUUAACAUAUGACAAUGCCUUGUACAAAUUAAUGUCUACUUGAAAGGCUUUGUACAAAUCAAUGUCUACUUGAAGUCUCUCUCGCUGGUGCAUCUCUGUUUGGAGCACAAUCGAUUGGAAUGAGGAGCCAUAUAUGACAAUAUUUCAAGUUGUAUAUGGAGAACAAUCAAUUAGAAACCAUAUAUGAAGCCGUAUACUCCAUCAACUGUAUACCGCAAUGAGAAGCUGCUUAGAUGGGCUUAUACUUAAUUUGUAUGCAGCAUUUCACUUGCCACUGUAGUCGCUCUCUUGUUACUAGCAACCUUGGUCGCAUUGUAUUUCUUUUGUCCAUGUGCAUUUAACCAGUUGUCUUGGUCUACUGUGAAACCAACCUUUUAUUUAGUUUGUGCUUAUGGAUUGUGGAAGACUGUUAUGUUUGAUGUUUUUCUAUUGAAUUUCUUCAUCUUAGUACACCCAUGAGGUCCCCUGAUAACAAUUUUGUCCAAGAGUCUUUCGUUAUUGCAAUUUCUGAUGAGCAUAUAAGACAUUGUGCUGUUGUUGGUAGCGCAAGAAGGUGGUAUGACAUCGAUGGUUUAUGCAAUUGACAGAUGAUUUUGGUAGAGUUAGUGCCAUUUUUGUUUCAUGCUCGUGCAUUGGAUGCUUGUAGCUUUCCUUUUGUUGUCAAGAUAUGUCAUUGUAUAUUUUUCCUGAUUGUCGAAAAUGGCUUCCUGUGCAGUUUAGUGGUGCGUGGAUUAAGAUUUCAGCCAUGGGUGACUUUGACUUCAUAGCUAGGGCAUAUGUGAAAGUCACAGGAAAGUGGGAUCGCUUGGACAUCACAAGCAAUUUGUGAUGCUGAGGAUCUUGUAGAGAAUUUCAGCUGGCUGCGUCGCUGUGAUUGUGGAUAACUUUUUCCGGAUGGAAAGGAAAGUGAAUUCCAAUAUUAUCAAAGCAAAAUUGGUGAAGUUGGAUGAGGAUUGGAGUUGGCGUGUAACCUACUUACUCACAUAUGGCAUGCUCAUGAUUUUUCAGGGUACAAAUAUAGUGAAGUUCUAUUACAUAUAUGCAUGUGAUAUUCACUAUACUUUUUCUCAUUGCCCAUUACUUCACAUGCAAUAUAACCUAUUAUGCAGCAACCAAGGUGAUAUGCAGGGCCAAGGUGAUAAAAGAACUUCUCAGUUCACAAAUGAAAGUGAGUUUUGACUUCUGAUGACAUUACACUGAUCAUAUUCUGGUGAGAUGUUGAUGACAGGAAGAAUUAUUAUUGUUGUUCAAGGUAGCUGCAACUAUGCACAUGAUGCAAGAAUUAUAUUUCUGUAGAGGUAGCUGCAACUAUGCACGUCAGUUUGAUCCUCCUAACUAAAAAUAAAAUUUAAUCUUCUUGGCAGAUUCACUUUUCUAUAAACUAAUUUCCGGUGUAGUUUGAAAAAAAAAGCAAAAGACUCGGAUACGAUCAUAGGACUACAACAUGAAGUUUGAGGAGUGUCCCAUAUCCCAUCAUCAUUCUCUCAGUUUUUACGACAUGAUUCUCCAUGAUGAUCUUAGAUAUACCUAGGAAGAUCAAAUUACAGAAAAAAAAACCUUGGAAUGGUUCUUUUGAUUUACCUUCGGUUCUUAUUAACGAUAUAGUUAUCUAUAUUAUCAUUUCGAAGUGGUGUUCCUGGAACAUUAAAUUGAUUAUAAAUACACUAGAUAUUAAUUUUGUGCAUAUCCAUGUCCCACCCACAACGCAAAGCAAGACUGCACAUAUACGUUAACGAUUGUGCCAGCAAGAUUAGUACGCACAAUCACGCACACAGAGGAGGCGCACACAAUAAGAGUCGGGAAGGGGUGGCCACUUGCCUAUGCCACUCGCCAAUGAUAUAUUUUGGAUCUUGCUGCUUGAUUUUGGCAUCUAUAUGUUGCAGACCACGUAUUACAGGUACUAUUUCAAUCUCUUGGUUAUUUCAGAUUGCACAUAUAAACCGGGUGAUGGAAGAUGUACUGUACUAAGCGGUUGAAUUGUGGUUGUCGAAGCCUUUAUUAGAAUGCUAAAAGCUUCAGACCUUUGCUUUUCUUCCGGAGUUUCGCGGAACUGAACUUCUGUAAAGUUCAUCAACCAGAUCCUACUCUUAGAUAUUUUGUUUAAGUAAAAUUUGCUCGAAGUGAUUAAGGAUAUCGGGCCUCUAAAAGAAAAGUAAGAAUCUAAAUUCCUAAGUAAUUAUAACAACUCAAGUGUGAUCUUCUUGUUGCUUAAUUUUCCAGUUAAGAUAUCUUUUUGAUAUAGAUUGCAAGGUUUCGUUCUCGCAUAAAACUCCCAAUCCUAUGAUCAUCAUAUGUUUCCUGUAUGAUGUUUUUGCUGGAAGGUCUGAUGUAUAUCUCUUUUCUAAAAAUGUCACUGAUAGUUUGUUUUGCCGAACAUAUUAGGUUAACUGGAUUCCAUCUCAAUUCCUGUAAAUCUCUCUAAAAAGGUCACUGCCAAGGUGGUGUGGAGUGAGGAGAUGUAGAGAUAGAUGAGGACGACGGAAGGAAGCAGUAGCAGCUCGAUCCAGGAACCAACAGCUGGCUCGCUCCUAGGUCUUCAACCCGCUCCCCCCUCCUUUCAGUCUACCGCGUGCAGCAGGUGGGUAUACUCAGCUUCGUUGCUCCCACUCAUCUUCCUCCCUCCCUCUCUAUCUUAUACAGGUUCCAUCUAAUGGCAGCACUCUCUCCCUUUUCCAUCUCUAUUUAGUAGAUGGUGGAGCAACCAAGCAUACGUACACAUUGAAAUUGAUUCUAUUGAGCUUAUUCACAGUUAUCCAUCAAGGAAUGGUUGUAAUAAAUAUUUUAUAUCUCUACAUCCAAGAGAUCAAGAGAUCCUAAUGUUAUAGCAUACGUCCA